CUGAAACGUCGACUGCACCUCUUCCUACAGAUGCUGCCUGGCCUGCUGCGUUCACCAGCAACUUUGAUGUGUGUUACCUGAUUUUUCAAAGCCAUUUUCUAUAACAACAGGUGCUAGUGACGAAGCUGCUGGGGCAGUACUGUUACAGAAGGGAGUGGAUGACAUCGAACAUCCAGUAGCUUAUUUCUCAAAGAACAUUAAUGUACACCAAAAAAAAAAUUAUUCAACUGUUGAAAAGGAAUUACUAGCACUUAUUCUGGCUUUACAACAUUUUGAGGCCUAUGAUCAGAGACCUCAAAACCUUUCUGUUGCUCAGAGACCACUUGUGGUUUACGUGGGUUAUAAUCCGUUGAUGUUUCGUACUAAGAUGAAGGAUAAGAAUAGAAGGUUGUUAAAUUGGAGUCCAAUAUUGCAGGAAGGUGACUUAAAAAUCAAACAUGUGAAAGUAACGUUGAAGCUGCACCCUCUCUAAUAUGCUGGUAGAGAGAGUUUUAUUUGGGUUUCCUUCAGCGCUGGAAAUGGUUACAUCCCGACACGUGGGACAGCAGCAAGGUCGCAUUGUGUAUUCCACGGACCAGCAAAUUCUGGCCAGCUUAGCGAACAGAGCGGCAGACACCCCUGCUGAAAUCCGGAGGAAAACACACAGAGGAUGCAGAGGGGGAUCACAAAGCCGAGGAAAGAGGACUGGGUCGAGACAACAGAGACUUUUGGAGAAGAGGAGUUCGGUGGGUAAUACCGUUCUGCCUGACCGGAAGUGCACUGAGAGCGGUAAGCUUAAAAGAGUUUGGUGCUUACUGAUCUGGUUAACAACGGAUGGUGCAAUCCGGGGCAUAUUACGAUCGAGGAAUGUGUUUGCAGACUGGAUAUUGAACUUUUUACUGCUGGAUUUUGGCCACAUUCCACCGUGAUACAACACUUGGCGGCACGGAAGGUCGUUCCUGCCUGUGGCCAUCGAACGUGCAGCUCCUCCCGUGGAGGGUCAGACACCCUGAGCCAAUAGACUGGUCCUGGACUUAUUUUCCAUCUGAGACUACAACACGAGGAAAUCUGCAGAUGUUGGAAAUUCAAGCAACACACACAAAAUGCUGGUGGAACGCAGCAGGCCAGGCAGCAUCUAUAGGAGGAGGUACAGUCAACGUUUCGGGCCGAGGCCCUUCAUUAAAACUACCAUGAUUCAAUAUUGUAAAGCAAUAAAACAUGAAAACUUCCAAGGGGAGUGAAUACUUUUUAUUGGCAAUGUAACUCGUAAACUUAGUUUUUCUUCAGUGAGGCUCUUAGAAAUGACCUGGAGGCAUAAUGACGUACACCAUUCAUGUACAUUCAUGUACACCCAUAACAAAGUUUAUAUCAACAAAGAUUUAAUCAAACAUUAUUACUCAAAUAUUACUGAAAUAUUAAGUACGCUACACUCCUCCCUUCUUAGCUAUAAACUCCAACUCAAAAGAGAAUGCAUUUCAACUUAAAUAUGUAAUGUAUUGCUCUCCAGUAAUCUAUAUACAUGUAUAUACACAAUAUACUGCAUAAUACAACUACAAGAUAGGCACCCACGGCAUAGCACAUUUUAAAUUAUCCCAUUCAGCCCCAAAGAUUUAAUCACUGUGGAAGAUCUCUUCCUUUUAUGGGAUAAUAAGCCUAUUAUAGCAAUAAAGCCCUUUCUGAGUGUUUAUGGUUGGAAACACUUUGGACUCUUCUUCCAUCUUCAUCUGUAGGAAGGCCUCAGUUAGGUCCACUUUGCUGAAGUGUUCUCCUCCAGAAAGGUUUGCAAAGAUAGACCUUUAUCUUGGGCGGAGGGUAUUAAUCUACUUUCGGUACUGUGUUAAAGGUGACUUUAAAAUCACCACAGAUCUUACCUUGGCUACUGGGAUGACUGGCACUGCCCAUAGGCUCCAGUCAACCUUGGAAAGAAUUCCUUCAGCCUCUAUGCGAUCUGGUUCACAGGUGGAACCAGACGGACUUUGUAAGUCAUGGGUGUGACAUUUUCAAGUUCACUUAUCAUCUGUACAUCAAAACAUACAGAGAAAUGUGUCAUCUACAUUGACAACCAAUACACUCAAGGGUAUGCUGGGGGUGGGCAGCCCACAAGUAUCACCACAACUUCCAGCGAUAGUAUUCCCACAUUGCUCGGCAGAACAUAAUAUAAAAUAAAUUUUAAAUAUAUAUAGACAUUUAAGAAAAGCACCAAUCAAAUUCAGUGCAAAAAAUAAAGAAGGCUGGAAAUACUCAGCAAUUGGAAGGCAUCUGUGGAAAGAGAAGUAAA